GUAUAAUACACUUGCAUAUUUUUAUUCUAUAUUGCAGUUUACCUUAAUAUGGAAACCACAGUCACAGCCGUAUACACGGACACACUACUAGUCUUGAAGGUACAUAAAACUACAGGUUGAUACACACACAUAAAAGCAAAUAUUACAGUACACUUGCAACAACAUAAUAAGAAUUAGCACAAGCUGCCAAUCUUCCUUACAAAGUUAUUAAUUUAGAGAAUAUUCAAUACUAAUUGGUGAAGGGUGUAUGGUGGAACUUGCACUUCAACAGUACCUUCAAGCAGGGCCGUCUCUGAGAAUUCGGAGGCUCGGCUCUGGAAAUGAAAAGAGGCCAGUGAUAAAAUCAAAACAUAAUUUUUUUUAAAAGAGCAAUAUACUAUUUAUAUUUUUUAAAAGAUAAAUACAAGGUGCCGUAUAUAUGCGGUACACCUAGAGAUGAAAAUGACUACCGUAUACACGAGGAACCCUCACCUAACACCAAAAUCAAGAGGAACUAAUUCUAAUAAUCCUAAAAGAGGCCCAUCCUUGUGAGGGAAUGAAAUAAUCUUAGGGGGCCUAAGAGAUAUUAAGGGGGCCUAAAAAGAAACCACCAUUAUACUGGAUAUAAAAUAAAUAAAAAAUGAGGCCCAUCCUUGAGGGAGGCCCAGCUCGUUUGAGCUGUUUGCACCCCCUCAGAAACGCCCCUGCCUUCAAGCAUAUGUAUCACAUUUCUCAUGGUUGGUCUAAGAUAUGGAUCCUCUUGAACACACCAAAUAGCAAUCUUUACCAAUUUCUCCAAAUUUUCCUUGUCCUUCAAUGCCUCAUUGUCACCCUCAACCAAGGGAUCUAGAAUACCUUCUUUGUAGCAGUCAUAAGCCCAUUCAGUUAAGAUAGCUUUGUAUUCAUUUUCUUGAUCCAUUUCUUCAACACAUCUUCUACAUGAAAUUAUGUGAAAAAAAGAUGUUUUUUAAACUUUCAAUAAAUUGAAUACACAAUUUCUAAGAUAAAGUUGUUACUUUAAGCUUCUUAUCAAGUGCUCUUAGAUAGGUAGGGGAGCCAGUAAUUUUGAAUAGUGGAGGCACCAUUACACGAAAUUUGUUAGGAGGAAAAGUAUGCGUGUUUGAUUUUAUGGUUGCAUGAAACAAGGAGGAAGAGUUUUCAUUUUUCUCAUUGAGAAAGAGAUAAUCAUAGGUGGAUUUAAAAAUAAAAUCUCACAAAAAUGGAUGUGAUAUGAAUAUUGCUCCCACUUUUAAAUAUUUAUCCAUGUCAUCUCUCAACCGAUGUGAGACAUUUUAACAUAUAGUGAGACGGGGUGUAAUAAAAACUACUUAUUUUAACUUAAAAAUAAAUAAAUAUAUGAGAGAGUGUAACAUGAUUUGUUUGUGUGGAUAAAUUGCCGGCAAAAUAAAGUGAAUAAGUUGAGUGCAAAAUCUAUAUGGGGUAUAUUCCAAUUCAUAUAUUUAAUUUGCCUGCAAAAUCUAAUAGUGGUAUAUUACAAGUAUGGUGUGUGGCUCCGUCACUACUCUUAGGGCACUUAGUAGCAUUUUCCUUAAUUUUAUUAUAAAAUAAUUAUAAAGUAAUGUUCAUUAUAAAGUAUUAGGGUGUGUUUGUUUCAAGUUUAUCAAAUUUAUUCAUAGGAAUAACAUUCCUUGAAAUAUAAAGAUGGGAAUUUUAUUCGAAGGAAUUUAGAAAAAAUAUGUUUGGUUAUCUUUAUAAUAUUCCUAGGAAUCAUAAAAAUAGGGAUUAUAAUAGGUAAACUAUUUAUGAAUUUAUUCUCAUCUCCAUGGGAACUUUAUUCCCACCCUUUUCUUUGGAAAUUUUUUUCUAUUCCCAGGAACAUUUUAUACCCGGGAAUAAAAUUUAGUAAACUUGUAACAAACAUAGGCAUAUACAUUCCUAUCAUUUUAUUCCCGGGAAUCAACAAUUAUAACUUGAAACAAACGCACAGUGAAAUAUUUGAAAUGUAAUUUCUUAUUUUGAAACUUUAUGUUUAAUAUUCAUUUUUUCAAGGAUGUAUAAUAUUUUUUAUAGUCUCGUUUACUUGCAAAUGUUAUACCUCACUAAACUUAUACUACACAACUUUUUUUUUUUGAGAGGGUUAUACUACACAACUUAACAACAAUAAAAAUAUCGUGAGAAUCGGUUUUUCUAUCUCUGUAAAUUUAUGGACCCUAAUUCAAUUGAAAACGACUGUCAUGUAAGCACUCGGAUCUAUGCUUAUUUUCAUCUCCUCAAAUUAAAAAAUGAAUGACCAAAAUAAAUAUUAUGUAAAAAGUAAAGGAAAAUAUGCAUAUUUUACACAACUCCAAAAAAUACCAACCCGGGUAACUCAAAUCAUUGGGAGCACUCAUGAUCUCAUCAAUUAAAAACGGCUAAUAUCAAUCGUUGAUUAAAUAAAUCAAUAGUUGAUAUUAUGGACACAUGUAUAACAAUCUUGAGUAGUUUUUUUUUUUUUUUGAAGGAGCAACUCUUCUUUUUUUUUUUGAGAGCAAAAAGGAGCAACUCUUGAGUAGUUAUAAGUUGUUAUAAUAUUAAUUUUUAAUCUUUUUUUUUACUUUACAAAUUACUCAAUUCAUAGUUCCCUAAAAUAUACCGUGUUGUGUCAUUUAUUUUGCUUAGUUAGAUAUUAAAUUAACUUUAUCCAAAACAAAACAACAAUGGAAUAAGGUUUGUUCAUACAAAGACAUAACUUAUUUAGAGAACAAUUAAUACUAAUUUGAGACAGUUAUGGUGGAACCAUGGGAGGCAUUAUCUCUUCUCACUUUUAAGAAAGCCUUAGAACCAUUAACAGUUGUUGUGAAUUGGGACUCAAAUCUCACACCAAUAAAUAAUGAUGUGUGGAGUAAAGAAAAGUAGUAACCACAAUCAAAGCAAGCAAUCACAAGCAACAACAAUAAUAACAACACCUAGAUCUAAUCUAGAAAUUAAAGUGAAAAGCUCAAAACCACAAGCAUAAGAAAGCAAGAAAGAAAACAACAAACACACCAAAGAUUAGUAACCCAAUUCGGUCUAAUAUAACCUCCUCUGGAGGAGAGAGCACCUCUCCAAUCCACUAAGAUGAAAGUGAUACAAAUGAGUUACAAGAAAUUAGCAUAAGAGCUCACAAAGAACAAAACUUAAUUUCUACCCAUUUUUCAUGUCACUUACACUCUCAAUGAAUCCUAAGAGAAAGCACAAAAGGAAGCUUUUUGAUCUUUCCAAUGGUGAAAUCUCACUACCCAAGAUGUUUACAAUGUUUCCCAACUCAAGAGAACCCCACUACAAAGACACUCAACCCUAAAGUUCUCUCCUUUAUAGUCCCAAGUUUCUCUCUCUUCAAGCUCUCUUUCAAAAUCUGCAUAGAAACACUUAUAUAGUACUCUGCAGCUAUCAAAAUUGUGUCACGAUUGCCAAAUUCGUGUCACGAUUGAUGCAUACGACCCAAUGUACGACCAACCUUAUCUUGAAAACGUGUCAAACAUGCCAAAAAUCGUGUCACAAUUGAACAUCAAACAAAACCAUGCUCACGGUCUAGAAAAUCGUGACACGCCUACCAAAUCAUGUCACGAUUCUGAACUUUCUCAGAAUCACAAUUUCAAGGCAAUUUCAACAAGUUGCAUAAACUCUCCCGUUUGUGAGUGGUAAAGUUUAAUUCCGGCUUGCAGGUGCUAGAUGGAUCACCAAGAAUAUUUUGUUUUCAUUUAGUAAAGUUAAAUUCUAACUCAAAAGAAUCUCAGAAAAUCAAUGCUAAUGUGAGUAUUUGGAGAGACUAAAAACUUACUCGUACCGAAUCUAUGUAACCAAAUUCCUCUCUUUUUACUAUGUUUCAACUUUCUAAUUUUAACUAUCUUAGAUUAUAGUUUUACAGGGUUCAAAUUUGAUGCAAUCACAUUACUAGAGUAAUAAUGUGCUGAUUCCACUUUGCCAUUCGUAGUGAAAUUAAGAAACAAAGGUUUUUUUUUUUUUUUUUUUGACAAAAUUUUAAGAAACAGUUAAAACAACAUAUAUCCGUAAAAGGGACAAACCGGAAACCAAUGCGCCGUGAGCCAUCUUGCCUUCUUGCUGCCACUCCUGCUGCCUCUGGAUGUCGCCGUUCCAACGCUGCCAACAGCCGUCCAUCCCCUACACCACUGGCUAUCUUCACCACUUUGUCCUUUUAAACGACCAUAGAUUGGCAGCGAGAUGGUAGAAUGGGUCACAACGUUGGGGUUGCUGAUGUGGUGGUGUUUCUGACUCAGGUUGGGGAGCAUGCCCUAAUGCUACACGCUCCACAAUAUACAUCCCGAGAACAUCACCGCAUCCAGGUUGAUUCAAUGACUUGCACAACAAGCUUGAAAUACUUGACAUCUAUUUCCAGCUUGAAUUAGAAGUAGUUGAUGUACAAGUUAGCCUAGGAGUAGUUGCUAACUUACUGUUUCUCAAUACAGUUUUAGGAAUUAGUUAUAAUUAGAUAUAAGCUCGUGCGUUGCGCAAAUAUCUUGA
rnacentral:lncRNA from 1 species